GCCGUGCCAAUGCCCAUGUCGAGCUCCUCUUCAUGCUUGGCUGACGAUGACUACGUUGCGACAUCGUUCACCUCCCUAGAGGCAUGGUCAAUGAGUUCAUGUGUCUUGGUGAUGUGGUAGUGCGGUUGUUAUUCUUGCUCUUCUUCUUUUCUCUCUCUUCUCUUCUCUCCUUUGGUUGCUCUCCUUUGGGUGCUGGCACUUUUCACCCCUGUUUGGGCGUGUGCCGUUGUAAACAAUUUUGUAACUUUAUCCGGCCGUUUUGGGCCACUAUAUAUAAAAUUCAGGUGGGGAACGUCCCCCGGUGACCCUAAAAAAACAAAAAAAGAGGUUAUAUUAGGAGACUGUUGGGGAAAGAAAAAGUAUUUAUCUCUUUUAAUAUCGUAGUUUUAUGUGGAUGAGGGUUGGAUCGUUGAAGAUGCUCUAAACCAAAAAAAAAAAAGACCCAAGUGCUUCUCAUGGACGUGGAGUGGAAGAGCAGGAGCAGUUGGAUGGGUCGAGAUAAGGAUGGAUCGAGGACAGUUGUGCACUGUCCAGUGUCCCCAUUACAUCAUGGAUUGAUCAGGCUGGCUCCAAUAACCACCC
rnacentral:lncRNA from 1 species